UGUCUGGUUGCACUUACUGGUUGUCCGGCCUCAGGGCCGGACUGAAAAGGGAACGUGGUGCGCGAUCCUAAUCGCAACUCCGCGACUGCCCCCGCAACUGUAAGCGGCGAGUUCGUCUUCAAAAGCCACUGGUAUUGCUUCGGCGCAAUACCGGGAAGGUGAGGAUGAACGCCUGAGCCGUGAGUCAGGAGACCUGCCAGCAGGUGUCGCCCUUU
rnacentral:ncRNA from 2 species